UGGGGGAUAUUGCACAAUGGGCGAAAGCCUGAUGCAGCGACGCCGCGUGGGGGAUGAAGGCCUUCGGGUUGUAAACUUCUUUUGCUCUGAACAAGGCAUGCUAAUGGGUGUGUUGAGUGUAGGGGUUGAUUAGCGCCGGCUAACUAAGUGCCAGCAGCCGCGGUAAUACGUAGGGCGCGAGCGUUGUCCGGAAUUAUUGGGCGUAAAGGGCUUGUAGGUGGCUGGUUGCGUCUGUCGUGAAAGCUCAUGGCUUAACUGUGGGUUUGCGGUGGGUACGGGCUGGCUUGAGUGCAGUAGGGGAGGCUGGAAUUCCUGGUGUAGCGGUGGAAUGCGCAGAUAUCAGGAGGAAUACCGGCGGCGAAGGCGGGUCUCUGGGCUGUUACUGACACUGAGGAGCGAAAGCAUGGGGAGCGAACAGG
rnacentral:rRNA from 1 species